rnacentral:rRNA from 1 species
GGCCUAUCAGCUUGUUGGUAAGGUAAUGGCUUACCAAGGCAAUGACGGAUAGCGGGUGUGAGAGCAUGACCCGCCUCACUGGGACUGAGACACUGCCCAGACUCCUACGGGAGGCUGCAGUCACGAAUAUUCCUCAAUGGCCGCAAGGCUGAAGGAGCGACGUCGCGUGCAGGAAGACGCUUUUCGGAGUGUAAACUGCUUUUAUUAGGGAAGAAUCAAUGACUGUACCUAAUGAAUAAGGGGCUGCUAACCUCGUGCCAGCAGCAGCGGUAAUACGAGGGCCCCAAGCGUUAUCCGGAUUUAUUGGGCGUAAAGGGUCCGUAGGCGGUCUGUUGCAUCUCCUGUUAAAUCUUCAGGCUCAACCUGGAGGCUGCGGGAGAGAUGAAUAGACUAGAGGCCGGUAGAGGCAAGCGGAAUUGCUGGUGUAGGGGUUAAAUCCGUUAAUAUCAGCAGGAAUGCCAAAUGCGAAGGCAGCUUGCUAGAACGCGCCUGACGUUCAAGGACGAAAGCGUGGGGAGCGAAGAGGAUUAGAUACCCUCGUAGUCCACGCCGUAAACGCUGGAUGCUAAGCAUUGGAAGUAUCGACCCUUUCAGUGCUGUUAAUUUAAGGUAACCCGUUAAGCACCCCGCCUGGGGAGUACG